AAAAUGAGAGUUUGAUCCUGGCUCAGGAUAAACGCUAUCUGUGUGCUUAAUACAUGCAUGUUGAACGGAAUAUGUUAGCUUGCUAAUAUAUUUAGUAGCAAAUGGGUGAGUAACACGUACCUAACCUACCUUUUGGACCGGGAUAACUAUUGGAAACAGCAGCUAAUACCGGAUAAAAUAAAAAAUGCAUGUUUUUUUAUUAAAAGGAGCCUUUAAAGCUCCACCAGAAAAUGGGGGUGCGCAACAUUAGUUAGUUGGUAGGGUAAAGGCCUACCAAGACGAUGAUGUUUAGCGGGGCCAAGAGGCUGUACCGCCACACUGGGAUUGAGAUACGGCCCAGACUCCUACGGGAGGCAGCAGUAAGGAAUAUUCCACAAUGAGCGAAAGCUUGAUGGAGCGACACAGAGUGCAGGAUGAAGUCUUUAGGGAUGUAAACUGCUGUUGUAAGGGAAGAAAAAACUAGAUAGGAAAUGAUUUAGUCUUGACGGUACCUUAUUAGAAAGUGACGGCAAACUAUGUGCCAGCAGCCGCGGUAAUACAUAGGUCGCAAGCGUUAUCCGGAAUUAUUGGGCGUAAAGCGUCCGCAGGUGUUUUGUUAAGUUUAAGGUUAAAUGACCGGGGCUCAACCCCGGCACGCUUUGGAAACUCCUUAGCUAGAAUUAUCGAGAGGUCGGUGGAACUCCAUGUGAAGCGGUGGAAUGCGUAGAUAUAUGGAAGAACACCAAUGGCGAAGGCAACCGACUGGCGAUAAAUUGACACUAAGAGACGAAAGCGUGGGGAGCAAACAGGAUUAGAUACCCUGGUAGUCCACGCCGUAAACGAUGAUCAUUAGCUGGUGGAGCUAUUCACUAGCACAGCUAACGCAUUAAAUGAUCCGCCUGAGUAGUAUGCUCGCAAGAGUGAAACUUAAAGGAAUUGACGGGGACCCGCACAAGCGGUGGAGCAUGUGGUUUAAUUUGAAGAUACGCGAAGAACCUUACCCUCUCUUGACAUCUCUUGCAAAAGUUUGGAAACAAACCGGAGGUUAACAAGAUGACAGAUGGUGCAUGGUUGUCGUCAGCUCGUGUCGUGAGAUGUAUGGUUAAGUCCCAUAACGAGCGCAACCCUUAUCCUUUGUUGCUAACAUUUAGUUGAGGACUCUUAGGAGACUGCCUGGGCAACCAGGAGGAAGGUUGGGAUGACGUCAAAUCAUCAUGCCCCUUACGUGAGGGGCUACACACGUGCUACAAUGGUUGAUACAAAGUGAUGCAAACCCGCGAGGGGAAGCUAACCACAAAAAAUCAAUCUCAGUUCGGAUUGGAGUCUGCAACUCGACUUCAUGAAGUCGGAAUCGCUAGUAAUCGUAGGUCAGCUAUACUACGGUGAAUACGUUCUCGGGCCUUGUACACACCGCCCGUCACACCAUGGGAGUUGGUUUUACCCGAAGCCGGUGCGCUAACCUUUUAGGAGGCAGCCGACCACGGUAAGGUCAGCGACUGGGGUGAAGUCGUAACAAGGU
rnacentral:rRNA from 1 species